rnacentral:rRNA from 1 species
UACAGAGGGGGCAAGCGUUAUUCGGAAUUAUUGGGCGUAAAGGGCGCGUAGGCGGCUUGGCAAGUGGAUGGUGAAAUCCCUCGGCUUAACCGAGGAACUGCCGUCCAAACUGCUUAGCUUGAGACCGGGAGAGGUGAGUGGAAUUCCCAGUGUAGCGGUGAAAUGCGUAGAUAUUGGGAGGAACACCAGUGGCGAAGGCGGCUCACUGGACCGGUACUGACGCUGAGGUGCGAAAGCGUGGGGAGCAAACAGG